GGGGAUAGUGAUCCAUUUACUGUUCUUACCUUUCACUGUCUCUUCACAUUCUCUUGUAGUUUCAUAUUAACUACAGAUACUCCCCUCUUAAUUCAGUUAGAUAUUUAAGUUAACUAAUGCAUGGCUAAUGUCAAGGGAAGCCCUGGGGCAAUAGAGGAAGAAACAUACCACCGUCUCAUUUCCCCAGAAACCUCACCUCAACUGUACAAAACAAAGAUGAUACUAAGGGCAGAAUGUGGGAAAGAGAGGAGGGUCUGAGGAGCCAAAAGAGCGUUGCAAAAAAUCCUAUGCAUUAACUUAUUCUUUACACAAAAUAGACUUCUUCAAAGCUUUUCAGUGACCUAAUAAGCUUGACUGUCUGGUUUUCCAGACCCUUACCGUUUAGAAAGAACUCCACAGGACUAAGCGAGGAAAGGUGUCAAGAGACCUUCAAUAUCUCUGCAAAGCAUCACUUUACACUCUCAUUUCAAGGACUGCAGGGGGGCUGCUGCUCCCCAAUCUUGACAGCAGCAUGUACAAAUAACACUUAGCACAUGCCACCUCCUGUACUGACUCACCUUUAUGUUACCUUCUGCCGAACCUGUAGUAAAAUAUUCCUCACAGGGAUCCAGAGCCAGAGCCUUAAUAGCUGAGUCAUGUGCCUGGAAGGUGUGAAUCAGUUGUCUUUGCCUGAUGUCAAAAAUGCAGACAUAGCCUUUCCUGCCUCCAGAGAUGAGGAGUUGCUGUUUUGGCGCAUACUGGAGUACCGUGGCACCAUGAUCGUGGCAUGUGAAGCCUGAAGGAGGAAACAUAAGAAGUCUUCCCAAAUAAUUUCUAUCCUGACAAUUCUGAGACCCUCUGCUGGUAGAAAACUUGAAGAGAACACACAGCGUGGACUGCUGAUCCCAAGAACACAGAGAUUAAGAGGCAGAAAGAGGGAGAAGCUUAAAGAAGACAGAAACCUGAAAGGACAGGUCUGAUCCUGAAGAACAAGACUGAGGGUCCCAGCAGUCUAGACCCCUGGCUUCCCACUGUAUUCCAAAGCUCUGACAAUCCAACCAAAUCACUGCUACAAACCUUAUGAAUAAUUAAAGUAUAUUUUCAAUGA